AUUGAACGCUGGCGGCAUGCUUUACACAUGCAAGUCGAACGGCAGCGCGGGCUUCGGCCUGGCGGCGAGUGGCGAACGGGUGAGUAAUGCAUCGGAACGUGCCCAGUAGUUGGGGAUAGCCCGGCGAAAGCCGGAUUAAUACCGCAUACGACCUGAGGGUGAAAGCGGGGGACCGAAAGGCCUCGCGCUAUUGGAGCGGCCGAUGUCGGAUUAGCUAGUUGGUGGGGUAAAGGCUUAUCAAGGCGACGAUCCGUAGCUGGUCUGAGAGGACGACCAGCCACACUGGGACUGAGACACGGCCCAGACUCCUACGGGAGGCAGCAGUGGGGAAUUUUGGACAAUGGGGGCAACCCUGAUCCAGCCAUGCCGCGUGCGGGAAGAAGGCCUUCGGGUUGUAAACCGCUUUUGUUCGGGAAGAAAUCCUCUGGGCUAAUACCCCGGGGGGAUGACGGUACCGGAAGAAUAAGCACCGGCUAACUACGUG
rnacentral:rRNA from 1 species